rnacentral:rRNA from 1 species
UAGUCCACGCCGUAAACGAUGUCAACUAGUUGUUCGUGUCAUUAAGACGUGAGUAACGCAGCUAACGCACUAAGUUGACCGCCUGGGGAGUACGGCCGCAAGGUUAAAACUCGAAUGAAUUGACGGGGCCCGCACAAGCGGUGGAGCAUGUGGUUUAAUUCGAUGCAACGCGAAGAACCUUACCAUCCCUUGACAUCCAGUGAAUUUUUCAGAGAUGAAUUAGUGCCUUCGGGAACACUGAGACAGGUGCUGCAUGGCUGUCGUCAGCUCGUGUUGUGAGAUGUUGGGUUAAGUCCCGCAACGAGCGCAACCCUUAUCCUUAGUUGCCAGCACGUAAAGGUGGAACUCUGGGGAGACUGCCGGUGAUAAACCGGAGGAAGGUGGGACGACGUCAAGUCAUCAUGGCCCUUACGGGAUGGGCUACGACACGUGCUACAAUGGCGCAUACAAAGGGCAGCAAGCCAGCGAUGGUUAGCGAAUCUCAUAAAGUGCGUCGU